rnacentral:rRNA from 1 species
AGCGAACGCUGGCGGCAGGCUUAACACAUGCAAGUCGAACGCCCCGCAAGGGGAGUGGCAGACGGGUGAGUAACACGUGGGAACGUACCCUUUGGUUCGGAAUAACUUGGGGAAACUCAAGCUAAUACCGGAUAAGCCCUUAUGGGGAAAGGUUUACUGCCGAAGGAUCGGCCCGCGUCUGAUUAGCUAGUUGGUGAGGUAAUGGCUCACCAAGGCGACGAUCAGUAGCUGGUCUGAGAGAAUGAUCAGCCACACUGGGACUGAGACACGGCCCAGACUCCUACGGGAGGCAGCAGUGGGGAAUAUUGGACAAUGGGGGCAACCCUGAUCCAGCCAUGCCGCGUGAGUGAUGAAGGCCUUAGGGUUGUAAAGCUCUUUUACCCGGGACGAUAAUGACUGUACCGGGAGAAUAAGCCCCGGCUAACUUCGUGCCAGCAGCCGCAGUAACAC